rnacentral:tRNA from 1 species
UUGGGCUCAGUUGGUUAGAGCAUCUGACUGUUAAUCAGAGGGUCCCUGGUUCGAGCCCAGGAGAGGGA